UACGUAGGGGCCUAGCGUUGUCCGGAAUUAUUGGGCGUAAAGAGCUCGUAGGCGGCUCGUUGCGUCGGCUGUGAAAACCCGCAGCUCAACUGUGGGCUUGCAGCCGAUACGGGCGGGCUGGGAUUCGGUAGGGGAGACUGGAAUUCCUGGUGUAGCGGUGAAAUGCGCAGAUAUCAGGAGGAACACCGGUGGCGAAGGCGGGUCUCUGGACAGUUCCUGACGCUGAGGCGCGAAGGCCAGGGGAGCAAACAGG
rnacentral:rRNA from 1 species